UUAUCCUCCUCAAGAACACACAUCUCAUUUCAAAGGAAUCAAGAUCUGUGAACAUGAAAUUGAGAUGUUCUGUCUCAACAUCUGCUCAUAGAUAUACCUUGCUUCUUGAAAGGAAGCUAGAGAGUUGGAGCAAUAGAGAAGCCGAACACACCAAAAGCCAAGACCUUGAGGGCUGAAGGCUCAAGCUAUUUCUCUCUAUGCCCAUCCAUGAUGGUAGUCACCAACAAUCACUGCCUCAGAGGCCAGUGGUCAUUGUCUGCAUAAAUCCAGCAAUAAAGUCCAUCCUGCUGGGUGGGAGAGAUAGCAGUACUCUCAGCAGAGCAAGCCACUUGUCUCCCUCCCUUCCUAGAUGGUAAACAGGACAAUCUCUCAUUCAGCUAAGUGCCUACAUGUGCAAGGUACCAUUAGGCCCAAGGACAUACAGAAUAAGACAGAUAGGGUCCCUGACCUCGAUUUAUAUUUUAGUGGGUGAGACAGAUAAAAAUCAAGCAAAAUAAUAGAUAAACAUAGAUUUUGUGAAAAAUGUAAAGUGAAGAAGUUUCAUUAGUAAGAAAUUAUAGCACAAAUUGUUUUUUAGAUAGUAAAAAGCUCUCCCAGAACAUGACAUUUUAGCUAAGAUCUGAAGGAUAAGAAGAAUUCUGCCAUGCAGAGAAAGAGCUGGAAAAAGUAUGUUCCAAGCAGUGGGGACAGAAAUUGCAUAGACUCUGGGCAUGAAAGAGCAUUACAUAUUUAGGGAACAGAUAGGCUUUUAGGAAAAUGAACUUGUGAUUGGGGUCGUAAGACCAAACUCAGCAUCAGAAUAACCAAGACCAAAUCAGAGCCAGGGAGUAAACUAUAGGGAAACAGACUGUCUAAAAUGCUGGAAAGCUAGCUGUCACUGUGCAGUCCUACUGGGUUGCACAGGUACACUCGUGGGCAUCAGGAUGCAAGGACUGGGUAGGUGGCACACAGGGCAGGCUGUGGAGGGGCUUGGGCACCCAGCAGGCUUGCUAGCAGCUUCCUUCUAUGUAAAGUUUGCCACCACUGCCUGGAGGGCUCUACAGCAGCCAGGGAGGGAAGAGGGGACCAGGACCAUGGUUG
rnacentral:lncRNA from 1 species